UGUCGAAACCUGCAAAACAGACCCGCGAACACGUUCCAACUCACGGGGAGGACGACGCGGGCACGGCYGACCAUGUUGUCCCGCGUCGGAGACCCGCUCYGUCGAUGUGCGCGCACGCGUCCACCGACGGCUCAACGAACCCCGGCGCGAAAAGCGUCAAGGAAUACUCAAAACAUUGCUCGCCCCCCGAUGCCCCGUUCGCGGUGUGCACCUGGGGACCGAGCGUGUGUCGAAUUUAAAACGACUCUCGGCAACGGAUAUCUUGGCUCUCGCAUCGAUGAAGAACGCAGCAAAAUGCGAUACUUGGUGUGAAUUGCAGAAUCCCGUGAACCAUCGAGUUUUUGAACGCAAGUUGCGCCCGAAGCCAUUAUGCUGAGGGCACGUCUGCCUGGGCGUCACGCACAGCGUCGCCCUCCACCUCCCCCGUAAUGGAGUCGCAGGUGCUGGGUUGGAUACUGGCCUCCCGUGCGCGCCCGCGUGCGGCUGGCCCAAACGUGAUCCGGCAUCGACGUGUGUCACGACAAUUGGUGGUUGAAGACCUCAACUCGCGUGUUGUCGUGCGGGACUACGUCGUUCUGCCAGGAUGUGUCGACCCCGAAGGUGCUUCGCACUUCGACGGCGACCCCAGGUCAGGC
rnacentral:misc_RNA from 1 species